rnacentral:lncRNA from 1 species
UUGUACAUUUUUAUAAUCCUAAUAAAAUUGAAUUUAUGAUGUGGUUUGUCCAGACAGGUAAACAUGUAUUCUCACUGUUAUACACAUCACUACACUACUGCACAUCGGCUUCACCUAUAGUAGGUUUGACAUGUUAAUUUUACACAAAUAACACCAAAGGUCAUAUUGCUAUUGGAUUUUACAUUAUCAAUGUAAGUUUCGUUUUGUUAUAGAUAUAAUAGUUUACUAUGUAGAUAUUUUUUUUGAUUAAACAGAGACUAAUAUAUAAAUAUGAUACUGUAAACCAUCCUCAGUCAGUACACAUUAACUUCCUUUCUUCAGUUCUUUUUAUAUAUAAUCACAAAAGUUUCUAAUGAUGUUUAUUAGGAUAUUUUUAGAUAUAUUUUUUAAAUGUUUGAUAUGGGUG